UGGGCUGGUCGAAAGACCCGGGUCCAACCGAUUUGGUAGGCAGACUGCCU
rnacentral:sRNA from 12 species